rnacentral:siRNA from 1 species
GGCUAGGUAACAUAAUGGA